rnacentral:rRNA from 1 species
AUUGAACGCUGGCGGCAUGCCUUACACAUGCAAGUCGAACGGCAGCACGGGAGCAAUCCUGGUGGCGAGUGGCGAACGGGUGAGUAAUAUAUCGGAACGUGCCCAGUAGUGGGGGAUAACUGCUCGAAAGAGCAGCUAAUACCGCAUACGACCUGAGGGUGAAAGGGGGGGAUCGCAAGACCUCUCGCUAUUGGAGCGGCCGAUAUCAGAUUAGCUAGUUGGUGGGGUAAAGGCCUACCAAGGCAACGAUCUGUAGUUGGUCUGAGAGGACGAGCAGCCACACUGGGACUGAGAAACGGCCCAGACUCCUACGGGAGGCAGCAGUGGGGAAUUUUGGACAAGGGGCGCAAGCCUGAUCCAGCAAUGCCGCGUGCAGGAAGAAGGCCUUCGGGUUGUAAACUGCUUUUGUCAGGGAAGAAAUCCUCUAGGUUAAUACCCUUGGGGGGAUGACGGUACCUGAAGAAUAAGCACCGGCUAACUACGUGCCAGCCGCCGCAGUAACAC